rnacentral:misc_RNA from 1 species
AAACAAGAGAGAGAUGAUAAUGACAGAAAAUGGGGAGAUAGAGAGUGAAGAAGAGAGGGAAGAAAUGCAAGAAAAUGAGAGUGAUGGAGAUGAAGAGUAUGAGGCUGAGGGGCGUGAGGCUAGUGCAUUGGUGACCAUGCGCAUCUUAGCUACCCAAGCUAAGGUAGAGGAAAAUGAAGACUUGAUCCAAAGGAAAAAUAUUUUUCACACUAGGUGCAAGGUGAGGGACAAGCAUUGCAGUGUGAUUGUUGAUAGUGGGAGCUGUUGUAAUGUGGCAAGUUAGCUAAUGGUGGAAAAAUUAGGGCUGCCCACAUUCAA